rnacentral:lncRNA from 1 species
AAGCAUGCAAAGGACAGAUGUGUGCAGUGUGCACUGACAUAAGGCCGCAUGUUGCCCUUUCAACUGCAGUGGAAAAUUGUGCAUCGGAGACUCACAGGUCCGUCAUGGAGCAGGUGUCCAGUGAGAGCAGGCGUCCAGUGAGAGCAGGCGUCCAGUGAGAGCAGGUGUCCAGUGAGAACAGGCGUCCAGUGAGAGCAGGCGUCCAGUGAGAGCAGGCGUCCAGUGAGAGCAGGCGUCCAGUGAGAACAGGCGUCCAGUGAGAGCAGGCGUCCAGUGAGAGCAGGCGUCCGGUGAGAACAGGCGUCCGGUGAGAGCAGGCGUCCGGUGAGAGCAGCUGUCCGGUGAGAGCAGGCGUCCAGUGAGAGCAGGCGUCCAGUGAGAGCAGGCGUCCAGUGAGAGCAGCUGUCCAGUGAGAACAGGCGUCCAGUGAGAGCAGGCGUCCAGUGAGAGCAGGCGUCCAGUGAGAGCAGGCGUCCAGUGAGAGCAGCUGUCCAGUGAGAGCAGGCGUCCAGUGAGAGCAGGCAUCCAGUGAGAGCAGGCGUCCAGUGAGAGCAGCUGUCCAGUGAGAGCAGGCGUCCAGUGAGAGCAGGCGUCCAGUGAGAGCAGCUGUCCAGUGAGAGCAGCUGUCCAGUGAGAGCAGGCGUCCAGUGAGAGCAGGUGUCCAGUGAGAACAGGUGUCCAGUGUGAGCACAGCUUUGGGGGUUCCAGGUAGAGUUUAGCAAGCAGGUGAAUUCACGACCGGGCUCCCCGGUGAUGAGCUGACUCUGGUCCCGGGAUCCCGCUUGGACUUUGUGUCCCUGCUCUGAGCUUGUCAUCUGGCCACUCGCUCCUGGGAGAAUUCUUCUGUCACGGCCCCUCCGAGACUCCGAACUGACUUCUGCCUUUCACGGCUUUCUCGCCAUCCGAGGCUUGGCCCUAGCCCUGCGCGGCUUCCCUCGCGGCUGCUAACCCUCUGCCUGCGCCCAGCCCAGCCACAAUGGGGACUGCUCAGGUUUUGCCUGGCAUUCUGCAGAAGCAUUGCUGUAUCUUACCAGACAGGAAUACAGGUCUGCUGUGUGCCAAAAUAUUUUACCAUGCCCUAAAAGUGAGAUGUUGGAAGUGGACAAGGAGGAAAUAUUUAUGAAUAUUUGAGUCUGUUAUUCUUUAUGUUAAGCAUUUUGGCUUCUGUUGUACUCCUAAAUCACUACUGAGAGCAGAGAAAGAGCUCUUUGUAGAAAUGAGAUGUGUUCCUGUGUGCUGCCUGUGACGCAUCCCGUUGUCACCGGAGUGCCGUGGCCCUAAGGAAUGACAGCAUUAAGGCAUGGACGUUAAAGAUGGACAAAAGAAUUGUUCACGGUGUUGUAUUUUAAAAUGACUAUGUGUAUGACAAUUAAACUAUUGUGUCUUCGUUUACUCCAUGUGUUCUGCCUGACAGCUGGG